rnacentral:misc_RNA from 1 species
GUCAUUUGUACUCUCAAGCUUUGCUUGGUGUUGGGUGUUUGUCCUUUCCUCUGCGUUUGGACUCGCCUUAAAUUCAUUGGCAGCCAAUAUACUGGUUUGAAGCGCAGCACAAUUUGCGAUUCUUUCUAGCAUUAUUGCAUCCAUUAAGUAUAUUUAACACUUUUGACCUCGGAUCAAGUAGGGAUACCCGCUGAACUUAA